rnacentral:rRNA from 1 species
CUGAGGACAGGUGCUGCAUGGCUGUCGUCAGCUCGUGUUGUGAAGUGUUGGGUUAAGUCCCGNAACGAGCGCAACCCUUAUCCUUUGUUGCCAGCACGUAAUGGUGGGAACUCAAAGGAGACUGCCGGUGAUAAACCGGAGGAAGGUGGGGAUGACGUCAAGUCAUCAUGGCCCUUACGAGUAGGGCUACACACGUGCUACAAUGGCGCAUACAAAGAGAAGCGACCUCGCGAGAGCAAGCGGACCUCAUAAAGUGCGUCGUAGUCCGGAUUGGAGUCUGCGACUCGACUCCAUGAAGUCGGAAUCGCUAGUAAUCGUAAAUCAGAAUGUUACGGUGAAUACGUUCCCGGGCCUUGUACACACCGCCCGUCACACCAUGGGAGUGGGUUGCAAAAGAAGUAGAUAGCUUAACCUUCGGGAGGGCGUUUACCACUUUGUGAUUCAUGACUGGGGUGAAGUCGUAACAAGGUAAGCGUAGUGCU